CAUAAUUAGCAACCAAAUCAUUAAGUACAGGACCUAGCUAGGGAAUUAAUUAUUUGAUUUCUACAUUCAUUAGGUUAGAUUACAAAGACUUGAUGACGAACAAGCGAGAAGAACUUGAGAGCAACAUAACAUUUCCCAACUCACGCUUUAUAUAUUAGAGUAGACCACUCGAAUUCGAAUUGGCAACGUAUUCUUAUCAAACGUAUUCUUAUCAAAAGUACAUACUUAGAUAAUGUGGCUAGCUAGAUCUUGUCUCGAUCAUACCUGACUGAAUCACAUAUAUAUUAGUUACCAUAUUAAUAUUAAUAGUACAUGGAAAAUUCAAAAUUUAUAACCAGCCAGUAUCCUGUUUCUCCUGUCGUCCUUUCACGUGGCGAAACAUCCGAGGUGGCAAGAAUAAACAGGUUCAAGCGUUAGGUCGAGCUCGUUCCUCCUGAUCCCUUCUCCUUGGUAAGUAGUGCCAAUGCACCAUAUAUAACAAACUAUCAACCUAAACGUACGUUCAGCCGAAUAACUAUCCAGUACCUUAAUUAAUUAGUCCCGAGUUAACCAUAAAAUGGAAACUGUGAUGUAAAUUUCUCUCUGUAUCUUUUUCCAUGAUUUAGAUUUAUAGGUAUAGGUAUAAUUUAUUACAAUUAGAGUUUGAAGAGAACAAUGAUUACCCAAUAUUUAGACAGGGAAGUGUCUGAUCAGGUAAGAGGAAGGAUGGCAUAUAAGGGCCAGCUGGGUUUUGGUGCUCCCACUGAGCCUGUUGUGCCUUUGUCUUC
rnacentral:lncRNA from 1 species